rnacentral:rRNA from 1 species
AAGCGUGCGCAGGCGGUUUUGUAAGACUGUCGUGAAAUCCCCGGGCUCAACCUGGGAAUGGCGAUGGUGACUGCAAGGCUAGAGUUUGGCAGAGGGGGGUAGAAUUCCACGUGUAGCAGUGAAAUGCGUAGAUAUGUGGAGGAACACCGAUGGCGAAGGCAGCCCCCUGGGUCAAAACUGACGCUCAUGCACGAAAGCGUGGGGAGCAAACAGGAUUAGAUACCCCGAGU